rnacentral:rRNA from 1 species
UGCGUAGGCGGCCGAUCAAGUCAGGUGUGAAAGACCCGUGCUUAACAUGGGGGUUGCACUUGAAACUGGUUGGCUUGAGUAUGGGAGAGGCAAGCGGAAUUCCCGGUGUAGCGGUGAAAUGCGUAGAUAUCAGGAGGAACACCGGUGGCGAAGGCGGUUUACUGGACGAUACCUGACGCUGAGACACGAAAGCGUGGGGAGCAAACA